UAGGGAAUCUUCCACAAUGGACGAAAGUCUGAUGGAGCAACGCCGCGUGAGUGAAGAAGGUUUUCGGAUCGUAAAGCUCUGUUGUUGGUGAAGAAGGAUAGAGGCAGUAACUGGUCUUUAUUUGACGGUAAUCAACCAGAAAGUCACGGCUAACUACGUGCCAGCAGCCGCGGUAAUACGUAGGUGGCAAGCGUUGUCCGGAUUUAUUGGGCGUAAAGCGAGCGCAGGCGGAAUGAUAAGUCUGAUGUGAAAGCCCACGGCUCAACCGUGGAACUGCAUCGGAAACUGUCAUUCUUGAGUGCAGAAGAGGAGAGUGGAACUCCAUGUGUAGCGGUGGAAUGCGUAGAUAUAUGGAAGAACACCAGUGGCGAAGGCGGCUCUCUGGUCUGCAACUGACGCUGAGGCUCGAAAGCAUGGGUAGCGAACAGGAUUAGAUACCCUGGUAGUCCAUGCCGUAAACGAUGAGCGCUAGGUGUUGGGGACUUUCCGGUCCUCAGUGCCGCAGCAAACGCAUUAAGCGCUCCGCCUGGGGAGUACGACCGCAAGGU
rnacentral:rRNA from 1 species